UGCGUCACUCACAUACGUUCCACGCCAUUGGCUGAUUUGAACAUGGUGCGCUCGGUAGUUACAGUGGCCGCCGCGAGAGGUUGCCCCUUGCACGCGCGAUUGCACUGAAAGUAUGUCACACGUUUGAAGAAAAAGAAAAAGAAAAUGUGCUGAAGGUCAGCAGGCGG
rnacentral:lncRNA from 1 species